GUAAGAAGAAAGAAAGAAGGUCUUUGUAAAAUGAUAGAAGGGUCAAUUAAGCAAGAGGAUAUAACCAUUGCAAAUAUAUGAGCACCAAAAAUUAAGAGUGAAACUAUAAAACUCCUAGAAGAAAACUGACACUGGUGUAACUUUGGAUUUGACACCAAAAGCAAAGGCAACAAAAGUAAAGAGCACUAAGCAUGAGAUUCUGGAAUAAUUAAAUGUAUCCUAAAUUACUUUAAAUGUUAUAAUUGUUGAUUUUAAAAUUAUUCUUGGAAGAGUACACCAAACGGAACAAUAUGAAAAGUUAAACUCGUCUUUCAAAUCUCCACUUUUCAAUUCUACCCAUCAAAGAUACUUGAACACCUCACCAGAAGCAUUCAGACUAUCAACACAGGUUAAUUAUUCUGGUGUGCUGAUAAACAGUGAAUGAAAAAUCAUGUAUACAGCGGUAUCCACAAUGGUAAAGUUAUUUUUAGAAAAAACUAACAUCAUGAUUAUGAGGAUACAGGGAAGUAAGAG